GAAGGAAAUUAAGUACGGAAGUUCCUGAUUUCACGCUGUCAAGAAAAGCCUCUAGGAAGAGUAGUACUGCCCGUACCGCAAACCGACACAGGUAGAUGAGGAGAGAAUCCUAAGGUGAGCGAGAGAACUCUCGUUAAGGAACUCGGCAAAAUGACCCCGUAACUUCGGGAGAAGGGGUGCUCUAUUAGGGUGCAAGCCCGAGAGAGCCGCAGUGAAUAGGCCCAGGCGACUGUUUAGCAAAAACACAGGUCUCUGCAAAACCGUAAGGUGACGUAUAGGGGCUGACGCCUGCCCGGUGCUGGAAGGUUAAGAGGAGUGCUUAGCUUCGGCGAAGGUACGAAUUGAAGCCCCAGUAAACGGCGGCCGUAACUAUAACGGUCCUAAGGUAGCGAAAUUCCUUGUCGGGUAAGUUCCGACCCGCACGAAAGGCGCAACGAUCUGGGCACUGUCUCAACGAGAGACUCGGUGAAAUUAUAGUACCUGUGAAGAUGCAGGUUACCCGCGACAGGACGGAAAGACCCCGUGGAGCUUUACUGCAACCUGAUAUGGAAUGUUUGUACCGCUUGUACAGGAUAGGUAGGAGCCGAAGAGACGUGUGCGCUAGCAUACGAGGAGGCAAUGGUGGGAUACUACCCUGGCUGUAUGACCAUUCUAACCCGCCACGCUUAGCGCGUGGGGAGACAGUGUCAGGUGGGCAGUUUGACUGGGGCGGUCGCCUCCUAAAGAGUAACGGAGGCGCCCAAAGGUUCCCUCAGAAUGGAUGGAAAUCAUUCGCAGAGUGUAAAGGCACAAGGGAGCUUGACUGCGAGACUGACAAGUCGAGCAGGGACGAAAGUCGGGCUUAGUGAUCCGGUGGUUCCGCAUGGAAGGGCCAUCGCUCAACGGAUAAAAGCUACCCCGGGGAUAACAGGCUUAUCUCCCCCAAGAGUCCACAUCGACGGGGAGGUUUGGCACCUCGAUGUCGGCUCGUCGCAUCCUGGGGCUGUAGUCGGUCCCAAGGGUUGG
rnacentral:rRNA from 1 species